rnacentral:misc_RNA from 1 species
GAUGAAGAACGUAGUGAAAUGCGAUAAGUAAUGUGAAUUGCAGAAUUCAGUGAAUCAUCGAAUCUUUGAACGCACCUUGCGCCCUUUGGCUAUUCCGAAGGGCAUGCCUGUUUGAGUAUCAUGAACACCUCAACUCUCAUGGUUUGCCAUGAUGAGCUUGGACUUUGGGGGUCUUGCCGGCCUAUGGGUCGGCUCCUCUCAAAUUAAUCAGCUUGCCAGUGUUUGGUGGCAUCACAGGUGUGAUAACUAUCUACGCUUGUGGUUUUCCAUCAGGUAACCUUCAGUGAUGGAGGUUCGCUGGGGCUCAUAAAUGUCUCUCCUCAGUGAGGACAGCUUUUUUGAACGUUUGAUCUCAAAUCAGGUAGGACUACCCGCUGAACUUAAGCAUAUAAAUAAGCGGAGGA